CUAAACCAAAAACAAAGUGUUUUCCCCCCUCUUUCACCCCCUCCCUGCACGAAGCUUGUGGAGGUGGAGCCAGCACAGCACAGCAAUGCUACCACUCUCCUGCGCGCCACCGCUACCGCCGCCGCAGUCGCGCCCGAACCCCAGCCCUAGCCACAAGCCCAAGCCCCAUCCGUGCGUGCUUCUCUUCCCUGCCGCCCUCCGCACGGCGGCCGCGGCGGCCACCAUCUCCUUCUCCCUCCUCGCCGGCAACGCGGCGGCUGUGGCGGCGGUGGAGCAGCCCUCGGAGAUAUGCCGCGGCCAGGACGACGGGAGGGAGGUAGAGGUGAAGGCCGAGGCGGUGACGAACGAGCAGCUCGUGGAGGAGGCGUGGGAGGUGGUCAACGAGGGCUUCCUCCCCGACGCCGGCAGCCGCCCGUGGUCACCGGAGCUGUGGAUGCAACGGAAGCAAGAUAUUCUUCAAGGUUCAAUCAAAUCCCGCUCUAGAGCCCACGACAUCAUCACGAAAAUGCUAGCUAGCCUGGGUGAUCCAUAUACAAGAUUCCUGUCGUCCUCAGAUUUCUCGAAGAUGUCGAAGUAUGACAUGACGGGGAUUGGGUUGAACUUAAGAGAGAUUCCUGAUGACAAUGGUUCUUUAAGGUUGGUGGUAUUAGGAUUGAUACUAGAUGGGCCUGCUCACUCUGCUGGUGUUAGACAGGGUGAUGAGCUUUUGUCUGUCAAUGGUAUCGAUAUAAGAGGUAAAUCUGCAUUUGACGUGUCGUCCAUGCUGCAAGGCCCAAAGGAAACUUUCGUUACAAUUAAGGUUAAGCAUGACAGCUGUGGUCCUGUUGAGUCAAUGAAAGUGCAAAGACAGAUGGCUGCUCGUACUCCAAUUUUCUAUCGUUUGGAGAAAAGAGACAAUGAGAAUUCAUCUGUUGGAUAUAUUCACAUUAAAGAAUUUAAUGCAGUGGCCAAAAAAGAUUUGGUCAGCGCAUUGAAACGUCUACAAAAUUCAGGUGCCUCCUAUUUUGUUUUGGACCUGAGGGACAAUCUUGGUGGACUAGUGCAAGCUGGAAUAGAGAUUGCAAAGCUCUUCUUGAACAAAGGAGACACGGUCAUUUAUACUACUGGCCGGGAUCGUCAAGUCCAAAAUACAAUUGUUGCUGACAGUGGACCUUUGGUUACAACUCCUGUGAUGGUACUGGUGAAUAAUAGGACAGCAAGUGCCAGCGAAAUAGUUGCUUCAGCACUUCAUGACAAUUGCAAAGCUGUUCUUGUCGGUGAAAGGACUUUUGGCAAGGGCUUAAUCCAAUCAGUAUUUGAACUUCAUGAUGGUUCUGGUAUUGUCGUCACAGUUGGCAAAUAUGUCACGCCAAAUCACAAAGACAUCAAUGGAGAUGGAAUAGAACCAGACUACCGCCGUCUUCCUGAUCUCAAUGAAGCCAGAGAUUACCUUUCGCGUUGCCAAAGCAAGAAAUUAAGUUGAGGUGAAGUGCUUUAUUACAAAGCUUCUUACACAGCAACACGUUAGAAGUAUGGAACGGAGCGUUAUGCCCGGGAGAAUUGUACAGCGAAGAAUGAACUCUCCCUGGUGAGGUGAGACCACAAGCUCGACAUUGAAGCCUCAAUUCAAUAUAGGCAUCUGCAGAGAUCAGAGUCAGCAUGUCCUUGGAUUCACACCGGUUCCGCAGCUCGGUAGAGAAAGGAGAGAGCCCUUGGAUUGCAUUGGCUUCUGCUGAAUAUACCCAGCACCACAUUUUGCCAGGACACCAUCUUAGAGCAACGCUAGCAGAUGCAGAUCCCCCAAAAAGGCAGCCUCUAAAAUCGUUUUGGAGUGCACUCUAAAUUUUACAGGACACAUUUGAAGGAUAGAGAAACAAAAGACUAGUCCUAUGCGCUGUGGCAGUCUUGGACAGACGCAUCAGGCAUCGCAACAAGACUCUGGUUGGGCGGUACCUCUGGACAAAUACAUUUCCAUGUCACAAUCUUCUUUGCCUUGAGGACAAGGCGCAACUCAAGAUGAUGAUAGUCUAUCCUGUCUCAAGCUGAUCUGAACAGACUCACUGCUACCUGAAGAAACACAACACUAGCACUGAGUGGAGCAAAAUGCUCCAGAGAAUGAGUGACUGAGAUGAGCCAAGGCGACUUAAGUGAAAGAUGUGCGGCUUUACAUUCUUUUGCUGACACCCUUUUCCCGGAACAUCAACGUUUACUUCUACCUAUGCAGGCUCGUUUUGGCACAUGGGAGCAUAUGCUCCUGGUUUUUAAAAUAUGUUUUAAACAUAUUUUAAAAUGUCACAAAAUUCUGUCAAAAUGAUGCCCGACUAUCUUUGGACAUUCUACGUGCACAAAAACUCGUUUUGCGGAAAACUGGCAACUUUUGUGUCACAUGUAAAAAAGACAAAAUGUAGUGUUAAAAAAGGCUUUUCACGAGACAUUAUUUUGUCUUUUUUACACAAGGCGUAUAAAAUGUCGGUUUCUCAUGAAAUUUGGCGUGUGCACAUACAAUGUUGAGAUGUACGUGUCAAAUUUGUGUUUGGAAAUUUUUGUCAUUUUAAAAUAUAUUUUUCAA